AGUAUCUAACACGUGGUUAGAUUAUAUAACUCACAUUUUAGUGAGACUUCACUUUAGGAUUUUUAAUUUACUAAGCUUCAACCUUCAUUUAGGUUAUAACUCGGGAUGUUUGUAGAAGCCGAGUGGUUCAAUCGAUUGCUCUUUGUAUUUUAUGGUUAUGAAAUAAAUUAGGGGUGACCCCCUUGCCCAAGUUUGGGACCUUUUGCCAAAAAAAAAAAAAACCUUGACUACUUUACCAUUAAACCAAAGUCUCGUUGGCAUUAACAAGAUUUCGUAUGCAAGUCUUUUAGCAACGUAAUAUAUGUUUAUAACCUAAUCUACACGAUUAACUGUUGCAUGGACUCUCUCAUGUCACACCUCAAGCAUUCACUAAUGUAAACCGCAAACCAAUCUU
rnacentral:lncRNA from 1 species